GACGAACGCUGGCGGCGUGCUUCAUACAUGCAAGUCGAACGAUAAGCUGACUUCGGUUGGUUCUAUGCUGCGGACUGGCGGGUAAUAUGUAGGUAAUCUGCCUUCUGCAGGGUGACAACAGAUGACAACUUCUGCUAAUACCCCAUAUCACCUUACCUCACAUGCUCUUCUUGAAAACUCCUGUGCCGACAGAUGAUCCUGCAUCGGAUUAGCUAGUUGGUAGUGUAAUGGACUACCAAGUCGACGAUCAGUAGCUGGGUUGAUAGGAUGAGCGGCCAAAAUGGGAGUGAGGCACGGGCCAGAAACAUACGGGAGGCAGCAGUAGGGAAUUGUACGCAAGGGGCGAAAGUGUAGAGGAGCAACGGGGCGUGAACGACUAUGACCGGCGAGGUAUAAAGUACUGUCAGUAGGGACGAAAAUUGACGGUACCCACAGAGGAAGCACCGGCUAACUCCGUG
rnacentral:rRNA from 1 species